UACAGAGGUCUCAAGCGUUGUUCGGAUUCAUUGGGCGUAAAGGGUGUGUAGAUGGCGCCGUAAGUCGGGUGUGAAAAUUUCGGAGCUUAACUCCGAAACUGCAUUCGAUACUGCGGUGCUUGAGGACUGGAGAGGAGACUGGAAUUCAUGGUGUAGCAGUGAAAAUGCGUAGAGAUCAUGAGGAAGACCAGUGGCGAAGGCGGGUCUCUGGACAGUUCCUGACACUGAGACACGAAGGCCAGGGGGAGCAAAACGGGG
rnacentral:rRNA from 1 species